AAAAGGUGGAGCCGGUCAAGGCGCGGGGAGCUGCUGACAGGACCAGGUCAGAAGGGGCUCCCUGAGCUACGCUGCAGCCGGAGCGCCUGGGGCAGCACGAAGCAGCAGCUCGCGGCGUGCACGCUCCCCUCCGAGCCCGCUAGGGCACCUGCCCCGGAGCCCAGCAACUCUCGGCCGUGGUCCACGCACGCAUCUCCGAGGACCCCUUGCCUCACCUGCGCCUGCCACGCCCCGUCCUGCCGCCGGGAUGAGCGAGCUUAACACCAAAACACCUCCAGCAACCAGCCAGGCCUCUGACCCUGAGGAAAAAGGGAAACCUGGCAGCAUUAAGAAGGCCGAGGAGGAGGAAGAAAUUGACAUUGACUUAACGGCACCAGAGACAGAGAAGGCCGCCCUUGCAAUCCAGGGCAAGUUCCGGCGCUUCCAGAAGAGGAAAAAGGAUUCCAGUUCCUGAAUGACCAGGCUUCCCCUUCACCCUUCUACUUCCUCUGUCCCCUCCACAGCUCUGACUCUCACGUGUCUCGUCCCCUCAUCCCUCUAGCCUGUCCCUGAGGAGCUUACCCUUUAUAUAUUCUUGUCUCAGGCUCUCUUAAGCCAUCACAGUAGUAGAGGCACAAGGACAUGAGAAGGCCAAGACUCUAGUUGGUAGUCACUAGGCUAAGGGUGGAUCAGUCCAUUUAAGAGAACUAAAGGUUCUGAGGUUUGACUCUCCCCUUCACCUAGUGCUAAGGGGAAGAGGGGAAAGCCCUCAGAGUGCAGAGCCUCAAGGUGGGGCACAUGUAGGCUUCUGCCAGUUGCACCAUUAACACAUCAGGUGACACUUUCAGGUCCUUCUGCACAGCUCCUCCCAUCUCCAUGAUUCAGCCUCAGUGCAGCUGCCCUUUCUCCCGGGGAAGACCUGAAUCAAGAAGCUUGCAGAAUGUGGGGGUGCAUGCCUUUAGUCCCAGCACUUGGAAGGCAGAGGCAGCUGGAUCCUUGUGUGUUCAAGCCAGCCUGGGUGACAUAGUGAAUUCUAGGUUAGCCACGGUUACAAAACAAAAUAAAAACAAAAACAAAAUAAAAAAAACCCUGCCCAUGCAAAAAUAAAUAUAAAUAAAUAAAUAAGGCAGCUCAAUACAUUAGUGCAUGCUGAGUAGAUUCCUGCCAAGGAAAGAAAACUGGGGCUGGUAGAGACCAGGAAAAGCUUCCUUCAGGCUGAGGUCAGAGAAGCCAGAGAUGGCAGAAGGUUCAGGCCAGGAGAUGAAACUGAGAGACUUUUAGGAAGGGGGAAAAAAAAAAGCAGAGAAGGCCAAGAUGUCUGAAGCUAUAUGCUAUCAUUGUUAACUAAAUACUACAUGAGGGGCUCUCUGGCCUUUGCUAAUCUGCCUACCUCUUUACCCGUCCCCAUCUCUAGUCAUCCCUAGAGCCAUGUGAACCCAGUGACACCCCUGUAGUUCUCAGCCACCCCACUGUGGAGUCAGGGCAAACAUUGCCACUGUAUGUGACUUUAGCAUGUUUAAUAAUUAUGACAAUAAAAAAGCCUCAAAUGGGGGCAUUGAACCUCUA